rnacentral:rRNA from 1 species
CCUACGGGAGGCAGCAGUGGGGAAUAUUGGGCAAUGGGCGCAAGCCUGACCCAGCAACGCCGCGUGAAGGAAGAAGGCUUUCGGGUUGUAAACUUCUUUUCUCAGGGACGAAGCAAGUGACGGUACCUGAGGAAUAAGCCACGGCUAACUACGUGCCAGCAGCCGCGGUAAUACGUAGGUGGCAAGCGUUAUCCGGAUUUACUGGGUGUAAAGGGCGGGUAGGCGGGAAAGCAAGUCAGAUGUGAAAACCAUGGGCUCAACCUGUGGCCUGCAUUUGAACCUGUUUUUCUUGAGUACUGGAGAGGCGGACGGAAGUCCUAGUGUAGCGGUGAAAUGCGUAGAUAUUAGGAGGAACACCAGUGGCGAAGGCGGUCUGCUGGACAGCAACUGACGCUGAGGCGCGAAAGCGUGGGGAGCAAACAGGAUUAGAUACCCUAGUAGUC